GACGAACGCUGGCGGCGUGCCUAACACAUGCAAGUCGAGCGGAGGAUUCGAGAUGUUUACAUCGAAGGAUCCUUAGCGGCGGACGGGUGAGUAACACGUGGGUAACCUGCCUCAGAGUGGGGGAUAGCCUUUCGAAAGGAAGAUUAAUACCGCAUAAGAUUGUAGCGUCACAUGGCGCAGCAAGAAAAGGAGCAAUCCGCUUUGAGAUGGACCCGCGGCGCAUUAGCUAGUUGGUGAGGUAACGGCUCACCAAGGCCACGAUGCGUAGCCGACCUGACGAGGGUGAUCGGCCACGAUUGGAACUGAGACACGGUCCAGACUCCUACGGGAGCAGCAGUGGGGAAUAUGCACAAUGGGCGAAAGCCUGAUGCAGCAACGCCGCGUGAGUGAUGAAGGCCUU
rnacentral:rRNA from 1 species